UACGAAGGGGGCUAGCGUUUUUCGGAAUUACUGGGCGUAAAGCGCACGUAGGCGGAUUUGUUAGUCAGGGGUGAAAUCCCGGGGCUCAACCUCGGAACUGCCGUUGAUACUGCAAAUCUCGAGUCCGGAAGAGGUGAGUGGAAUUCCUAGUGUAGAGGUGAAAUUCGUAGAUAUUAGGAAGAACACCAGUGGCGAAGGCGGCUCACUGGUCCGGCACUGACGCUGAGGUGCGAAAGCGUGGGGAGCAAACAGG
rnacentral:rRNA from 1 species